GAUGAACGCUGGCGGCGUGCCUAAUACAUGCGAGUCGAGCGAACAGACGAGGAGCUUGCUCCUUUGACGUUAGCGGCGGACGGGUGAGUAACACGUGGAUAACCUACCUAUAAAACUGGGAUAACUUCGGGAAACCGGAGCUAAUACCGGAUAACAUGUUGAACCGCAUGGUUCAACAGUGAAAGACGGUCUUGCUGUCACUUAUAGAUGGAUCCGCGCCGCAUUAGCUAGUUGGUAAGGUAACGGCUUACCAAGGCAACGAUGCGUAGCCGACCUGAGAGGGUGAUCGGCCACACUGGAACUGAGACACGGUCCAGACUCCUACGGGAGGCAGCAGUAGGGAAUCUUCCGCAAUGGGCGAAAGCCUGACGGAGCAACGCCGCGUGAGUGAAGAAGGUCUUCGGAUCGUAAAACUCUGUUAUUAGGGAAGAACAAAUGUGUAAGUAACUAUGCACGUCUUGACGGUACCUAAUCAGAAAGCCACGGCUAACUACGUG
rnacentral:rRNA from 1 species